rnacentral:rRNA from 1 species
UACGUAGGGGGCAAGCGUUGUCCGGAAUCAUUGGGCGUAAAGAGCUCGUAGGCGGUCUGUCGCGUCUGCUGUGAAAACUCAGGGCUUAACCCUGAGCUUGCAGUGGGUACGGGCAGACUAGAGUGCGGUAGGGGAGACUGGAAUUCCUGGUGUAGCGGUGAAAUGCGCAGAUAUCAGGAGGAACACCAAUGGCGAAGGCAGCUCGCUGGGACGGUACUGACGCUGGAGAACGCGAAAGCCGUGGGGAGCAAACAGG